AGUCGAGCGAACAGACGAGGAGCUUGCUCCUCUGACGUUAGCGGCGGACGGGUGAGUAACACGUGGAUAACCUACCUAUAAGACUGGGAUAACUUCGGGAAACCGGAGCUAAUACCGGAUAAUAUAUUGAACCGCAUGGUUCAAUAGUGAAAGACGGUUUUGCUGUCACUUAUAGAUGGAUCCGCGCCGCAUUAGCUAGUUGGUAAGGUAACGGCUUACCAAGGCAACGAUGCGUAGCCGACCUGAGAGGGUGAUCGGCCACACUGGAACUGAGACACGGUCCAGACUCCUACGGGAGGCAGCAGUAGGGAAUCUUCCGCAAUGGGCGAAAGCCUGACGGAGCAACGCCGCGUGAGUGAUGAAGGUCUUCGGAUCGUAAAACUCUGUUAUUAGGGAAGAACAAAUGUGUAAGUAACUAUGCACGUCUUGACGGUACCUAAUCAGAAAGCCACGGCUAACUACGUGCCAGCAGCCGCGGUAAUACGUAGGUGGCAAGCGUUAUCCGGAAUUAUUGGGCGUAAAGCGCGCGUAGGCGGUUUUUUAAGUCUGAUGUGAAAGCCCACGGCUCAACCGUGGAGGGUCAUUGGAAACUGGAAAACUUGAGUGCAGAAGAGGAAAGUGGAAUUCCAUGUGUAGCGGUGAAAUGCGCAGAGAUAUGGAGGAACACCAGUGGCGAAGGCGACUUUCUGGUCUGUAACUGACGCUGAUGUGUGAAA
rnacentral:rRNA from 1 species